AACGAACGCUGGCGGCAUGCCUAACACAUGCAAGUCGAACGAGACCUUCGGGUCCAGUGGCGCACGGGUGCGUAACGCGUGGGAACCUGCCCUUAGGUUCGGAAUAACUCCCCGAAAGGGGUGCUAAUACCGGAUAAUGUCUUCGGACCAAAGAUUUAUCGCCUUUGGAUGGUCCCGCGUUGGAUUAGCUAGUUGGUACGGUAAAAGCCUACCAAGGCGACGAUCCAUAGCUGGUUUGGGAGGAUGAUCAGCCACACUGAGACUGAGACACGGCCCAGACUCCUACGGGAGGCAGCAGUGGGGAAUAUUGGACAAUGGGCGAAAGCCUGAUCCAGCAAUGCCGCGUGAGUGAUGAAGGCCUUAGGGUUGUAAAGCUCUUUUACCCGGGAUGAUAAUGACAGUACCGGGAGAAUAAGCUCCGGCUAACUCCGUG
rnacentral:rRNA from 1 species